UACGUAGGGUGCAAGCGUUGCCCGGAUUUAUUGGGCGUAAAGGGCGCGUAGGCGGUCAGCACAAGUCAGUUGUGAAAUCUCCGGGCUUAACCCGGAAAGGUCAACUGAUACUGUGCGACUAGAGUGCGGAAGGGGCAACUGGAAUUCUCGGUGUAGCGGUGAAAUGCGUAGAUAUCGAGAGGAACACCUGCGGCGAAGGCGGGUUGCUGGGCCGACACUGACGCUGAUGCGCGAAAGCCAGGGGAGCGAACGGG
rnacentral:rRNA from 1 species